rnacentral:lncRNA from 1 species
UACAGAUUUGAACCACAAAGGUUCGACACAAAGAACCUCUCAAACUCUUAUCUCUCUCUUUACAAAACACUCACAAAGAAUACACUACACUCAGUACACCAUAAUCUCACAAAGAGAUUACACAGAUCAUCCAGAAGAUGAAAUUUACAGAGAGAAUUUUAGAGAAAAACACGAAGAAGACAAGAGGAAUACAAAAUAAUACGAUCCACCCUAACCCUAGAAUGAAAAGUCUAUUUAAAUGGAAUACAAUCAAUCAGGUGAUCCAACGCUCCAGAUUACACCAAGUGUCAACCAUCCAUUUAAAACGCACCAAUGCUCAAAAAUAAAACACGCUUUCAACAUUCCAGAAUCUUCAUUUAAUUGGAUCAAAGGACCCGGUUUAUUUGGGCUGGCAAAACUGGACCAUAAGUAAUAGGCGGACUAAAAAUGUAGCAACCCAUUUACAAAGUUUUAUUAGCCUCUGGUGGUCGAGCUGUAUUCCAUUGUCAAAGACCAAGAUUGUAAGAUCCUCAAUUCUGUACACUAUGUACUUCAUUAUGAACCUGGUCAUAUUAUCUUUAGUGAUCUUGGUUAUUGGCUUGGCUUUGACCCAUUUUGUGAAGUAAAUGAUGGUCAACUAUCAUAAAAUGGGCUUCAACUCAUCCCUUGGGUAUGGACUCACAAUUUCCAUACCCCACUUGAAAAAUACCUUAGACAGCUCACUUUGAUCAGCUCUUAAGUGUAGAGCUAAGGUAUAUGAGAAAACCUCUAGCAUUAUUACAACUCCUACUAUAGUCCUUCAGGUUCGACAAGUAAUACUGAUGGUUUUUCUUGUAGUGAUGAGAUUAGAUUAGAUGGUUUAAUAUGUUUUGUAUGAGAUAAUUUUGGAGGUAGAAAGUAAGUGGCUUUUUGUUGGAAGUUAGUAGUAUGGAAAAUUUUGAUAGAAAGUAAGUUAG